UACGUAGGGGGCAAGCGUUGUCCGGAUUUAUUGGGCGUAAAGAGCGUGUAGGCGGCCAUACAGGUCCGUUGUGAAAACUGGAGGCUUAACCUCCAGACGUCGAUGGAAACCGUAUGGCUAGAGUCCGGAAGAGGAGAGUGGAAUUCCUGGUGUAGCGGUGAAAUGCGCAGAUAUCAGGAGGAACAUCUGUGGCGAAGGCGACACCCUGGACCAGCACUGACACUGAGGCACGAAAGCGUGGGGAGCAAACAGG
rnacentral:rRNA from 1 species